CCUACGGGUGGCAGCAGUGAGGAAUAUUGGUCAAUGGGCGGAAGCCUGAACCAGCCAAGUCGCGUGAGGGAUUAAGGCCCUGCGGGUCGUAAACCUCUUUUGCCGGGGAGCAGUGGUCCGGACGCGUCCGGACCGGGAGAGUACCCGGAGAAAAAGCAUCGGCUAACUCCGUGCCAGCAGCCGCGGUAAUACGGAGGAUGCGAGCGUUAUCCGGAUUUAUUGGGUUUAAAGGGUGCGUAGGCGGACUGUUAAGUCAGCGGUAAAAGCCCGGGGCUCAACCCCGGCGAGCCGUUGAAACUGGCUGUCUUGAGAUGGCGAGAGGUAUGCGGAAUGCGCAGUGUAGCGGUGAAAUGCUUAGAUAUUGCGCAGAACUCCGAUUGCGAAGGCAGCCUACUAAACUGCCACUGACAUUGAUGCUCGAAAGUGUGGGUAUCAAACAGGAUUAGAUACCCCUGUAGUC
rnacentral:rRNA from 1 species